rfam:Triticum aestivum genome assembly, contig: Triticum_aestivum_CS42_TGACv1_scaffold_093585_2AL
AACGUACUCCCUCCGUUCUGAAUUACUUGUCUUGGAUUUGUCUAGAUACAGAAGUAUCUAGCACUAAACGUAUCUAGACAAAUCCAAGACAAAUAAUUCAGAACGGAGGGAGUAGCAG